UAGGGAAUAUUAGAAAUGGACGAAAGUCUGAUCUAGCAACACCGCGUGUGCGAAGAAGGCCUUCGGGUUGUAAAGCACUUUUUGGAAGGAUUAGGAAGGAAUGUACUUCCAGAAUAAGUCUCGGCUAACUACGUGCCAGCAGCCGCGGUAAUACGGAGGAUGCAAGCGUUAUCCGGAUUCAUUGGGUUUAAAGGGUGCGCAGGCGGAUUAUUAAGUCAGUGGUGAAAGCCUACAGCUUAACUGUAGAACUGCCAUUGAUACUGAUAUUCUUGAGUGUUGUUGAGGUUAGGCGGAAUGUGUCAUGUAGCGGUGAAAUGCUUAGAUAUGACACAGAACACCGAUCGCGAAGGCAGCUUACCAAGCAACAACUGACGCUCAUGCACGAAAGCGUGGGGAUCA
rnacentral:rRNA from 1 species